UUGUUACCAAGAAGAUUGCUGCACCGGUGAUUCUCCCUUUCUGUUUGGUCUUGUCCUGCUCUGGUUGCACCGGAUCGUUUGGCAUUGUACAGAAGCGCAGAAUGCCAAACAGCCGCCCGGCGAGAGCAUUACUAGUCAGAUCAAAACCUGGAGGAUCAAACAGAGACAGCCGUGGCCGUUCAGAUGAUGAUGAAGUUAUCGUACAGAUCGUCCUCGAGGACUGAUUCACCUCUGGAUAUCACUCACUGCACUCACUCGCGCCCGUAGCAAGACAUCUGCCAAGUUUGAAAUCAAUUGGACCAACGCUUCGAGAGAUAUCUCUUACCGCCGAUGUACGAGUACCGGGAUGCGGUGAGGCCCCCGUCGGGCCCCUGAGCUCGUCUGAGCCCCAUCUCCAUCAGUCUCCGU